rnacentral:rRNA from 1 species
UCAAGCUGAAAAGAGCGCAAGGGGAAUGCCUUGGCAUCAGGAGCCGACGAAGGACGUGACAAGCUGCGAUAAGCUACGGUGAGGAGCAAAUAUCCUGUGACCCGUAGAUUUCCGAAUGGGGCAACCCGGCUGGACAAUAUCCAGUCAUCCUGCAUUGAAUCAAAUAGGUGUAGGAAGGGAACCGCCUGAACUGAAACAUCUAAGUAGGGCGAGGAAAAGACAUCAACCGAGAUUCCGCAAGUAGUGGCGAGCGAACGCGGAGAAGGCCAAACCAGAGGUCAUUGAUCUCUGGGGUAUGGACUUGCAUCAUGAUCAGAGGUAUCUAGUCGAAUGGCGUGGGAAAGCCAACCACAGAGGGUGAGAGUCCCGUAGACGAAAGAGAAGACUGACAGCGAGUAUCCAGAGUACCGCCGGACACGUGAAACCCGGUGGGAACAUGGGAGGACCACCUUCCAAGCCUAAAUACUACCUGAUGACCGAUAGUGGAGCAGUACCGUGAGGGAAAGGUGAAAAGAACCCCGGGAGGGGAGUGAAAUAGUACCUGAAACCGUAUGUCUACAAGCAGUCGAAGCGAAAGCGACGGCGUGCCUAUUGAAGAAUGAACCAACGAGUUAUCUGCACUAGCGAGGUUAAGUGAAAGACACGGAGCCGCAGCGAAAGCGAGUCUUAAGAGGGCGCUAGUUAGUGUAGGUAGACCCGAAACCGCAGUGAUCUACCCAUGUCCAGGUUGAAGCGCAGGUAAAAUUGCGUGGAGGACCGAACCGGUGAGCGUUGAAAAGCUUUCGGAUGAGAUGUGGGUAGGGGUGAAAUUCCAAUCGAACGCGGAGAUAGCUGGUUCUCCCCGAAAUAGCUUUAGGGCUAGCCUGAGGUAGUAAGUAUAGGCGGUAGAGCACUGAUCGGGCUAGGGGCCGUAAAGGUUACCGAACCCUGUCAAACUCCGAAUGGAUAUACUGUAGAGCCUUGGAGUCAGACUACGAGUGAUAAGAUCCGUGGUCAAAAGGGAAACAGCCCAGACCACCAGCUAAGGUCCCCAAUGUCGUACUAAGUGGAAAAGGAUGUGGGGUUUCAUAAACAACCAGGAUGUUGGCUCAGAAGCAGCCACCAUUUAAAGAGUGCGUAAUAGCUCACUGGUCGAGAGACCCUGCGCCGAAGAUUCCCGGGGCUAAAGUACGAAACCGAAGCUGUGGCUGUAUACGUAAAGUAUACGGGGUAGGGGAGCGUUCCCAUAGGGUAGAAGUCGAACUGGAAGGUUCGGUGGACUUGUGGGAAGUGAGAAUGUUGGUAUGAGUAGCGAAAAGAAAGGUGAGAAUCCUUUCCACCGAAAGCAUAAGGAUUCCUGAGCAACGAUCGUCGUCUCAGGGUAAGUCGGGACCUAAUCCGAGGCAGAGAGCGUAGGAGAUGGACAACUGGUUGAUAUUCCAGUACCGGUAGUAAUUGUUUGAGCAAUGGAGUGACACAGAAGGGCAGGCAAGCAUGCGAAUGGAAGAGCAUGUGUAAGCGUGUAGGGUGGUGCAUAGGCAAAUCCGUGCACUGAAAGCCUGAGGCGUGAUGCGGAGUGAGCAGAGAUGCGAGCGAAGUUGUUGACCCCACACUGUCGAGAAAAGCUUCUAGUGAGAGAGCUACCGCCCGUACCGUAAACCGACACAGGUAUGCGGGGAGAGAAUCCUAAGGUGCGCGGGAGAACCCUCGUUAAGGAACUCGGCAAAAUGUACCCGUAACUUCGGGAUAAGGGUAGCCACUGUUGUGAAGUCCCAUGCGGAUGGAGCAUAGAGUGGUCGCAGAGAAGAGGCCCAAGCGACUGUUUACCAUAAACACAGGUGCCUGCUAAAGCGAAAGCUGACGUAUAGGUGCUGACACCUGCCCAGUGCCGGAAGGUUAAGGAAGGAUGUUCGGAUUAGUCCAAAGCAUUCGACUGAAGCCCCGGUGAACGGCGGCCGUAACUAUAACGGUCCUAAGGUAGCGAAAUUCCUUGUCGGGUAAG